rfam:Asian citrus Psyllid, Diaphorina citri - Florida Strain, whole genome shotgun sequence.
ACCUAGUUAGCUUAGUUGGUAGCGCGUCUGCCUUGUAAGCGCUAGGCCGCGGGUUCGAUCCCCGCCCGGGGCG